ensembl:snoRNA Z30 small nucleolar RNA
AGCUAUGAUGAGUAAAGAAAUAUGGCUGACUUGGUAUUGGUACUUCUGGGUGUCUAUGACCAGGGUCUGAUUGCAUUUAAUCUUCUCUCUGAGCUG